rnacentral:rRNA from 1 species
GGUGACCAGCGGAGGGAUCAUUAUAGAGUUUUCUAAACUCCCAACCCAUGUGAACUUACCUUUUGUUGCCUCGGCAGAAGUUAUAGGUCUUCUUAUAGCUGCUGCCGGUGGACCAUUAAACUCUUGUUAUUUUAUGUAAUCUGAGCGUCUUAUUUUAAUAAGUCAAAACUUUCAACAACGGAUCUCUUGGUUCUGGCAUCGAUGAAGAACGCAGCGAAAUGCGAUAAGUAAUGUGAAUUGCAGAAUUCAGUGAAUCAUCGAAUCUUUGAACGCACAUUGCGCCCAUUAGUAUUCUAGUGGGCAUGCCUGUUCGAGCGUCAUUUCAACCCUUAAGCCUAGCUUAGUGUUGGGAAUCUACUUCUCUUAGGAGUUGUAGUUCCUGAAAUACAACGGCGGAUUUGUAGUAUCCUCUGAGCGUAGUAAUUUUUUUCUCGCUUUUGUUAGGUGCUAUAACUCCCAGCCGCUAAACCCCCAAUUUUUUGUGGUUGACCUCGGAUCAGGUAGGAAUACCCGCUGAACUUAAGCAUAUCAAUAAGCGGAGGAAAAGAAACCAACAGGGAUUGCCUUAGUAACGGCGAGUGAAGCGGCAACAGCUCAAAUUUGAAAUCUGGCCCUUGGGUCCGAAUUGUAAUUUGUAGAGGAUGAUUUUGGUGCGGUAUCUUCCGAGUUCCUUGGAACAGGACGCCUUAGAGGGUGAGAGCCCCGUACGGUUGAAUGCCUAGCCUCUGUAAAUCUCCUUCGACGAGUCGAGUAGUUUGGGAAUGCUGCUCUAAAUGGGAGGUAAAUUUCUUCUAAAGCUAAAUAUUGGCCAGAGACCGAUAGCGCACAAGUAGAGUGAUCGAAAGAUGAAAAGCACUUUGAAAAGAGGGUUAAAUAGCACGUGAAAUUGUUGAAAGGGAAGGAUUUGUGACCAGACUUUUUCUGGGCGGAUCAUCCGGGGUUCUCUCCGGUGCACUUCGCCCAGUAAAGGCCAGCAUCGGUUUUCGGCGUGGGAUAAAAGCAGUAGGAAUGUGGCUCUCUACGGGGAGUGUUAUAGCCUAUUGUAUAAUACCGCGCUGGGGACCGAGGUUCGCGCUUCUGCAAGG